GGCAUGGUGGCGCAGUGGUUAGCACUGCAUCCUCUCUGCAAGCUGGUAGCUGGUUCAAGUCCAGCCGGUGGUU